rnacentral:rRNA from 1 species
AGUGAACGCUGGCGGUAGGCCUAACACAUGCAAGUCGAACGGCAGCACAGUAAGAGCUUGCUCUUCGGGUGGCGAGUGGCGGACGGGUGAGGAAUACAUCGGAAUCUACUUUUUCGUGGGGGAUAACGUAGGGAAACUUACGCUAAUACCGCAUACGACCUACGGGUGAAAGCAGGGGAUCUUCGGACCUUGCGCGAUUGAAUGAGCCGAUGUCGGAUUAGCUAGUUGGCGGGGUAAAGGCCCACCAAGGCGACGAUCCGUAGCUGGUCUGAGAGGAUGAUCAGCCACACUGGAACUGAGACACGGUCCAGACUCCUACGGGAGGCAGCAGUGGGGAAUAUUGGACAAUGGGCGCAAGCCUGAUCCAGCCAUACCGCGUGGGUGAAGAAGGCCUUCGGGUUGUAAAGCCCUUUUGUUGGGAAAGAAAAGCAGCAGGUUAAUACCCCGCUGUUCUGACGGUACCCAAAGAAUAAGCACCGGCUAACUUCGUG